rnacentral:rRNA from 1 species
CAGUCGCCACGGGAAUACGAAGGGGGCUAGCGUUGCUCGGAAUGACUGGGCGUAAAGGGCGCGUAGGCGGUUUUGACAGUCAGAUGUGAAAUUCCUGGGCUUAACCUGGGGGCUGCAUUUGAGACGUCAAGACUAGAGUGUGAGAGAGGGUUGUGGAAUUCCCAGUGUAGAGGUGAAAUUCGUAGAUAUUGGGAAGAACACCGGUGGCGAAGGCGGCAACCUGGCUCAUUACUGACGCUGAGGCGCGAAAGCGUGGGGAGCAAACAGGAUUAGAUACCCCCGUAGUCCCUGUCUCUUAUAC